rnacentral:rRNA from 1 species
GACGAACGCUGGCGGCGUGCUUAACACAUGCAAGUCGAGCGGAAAGGCCCUUUCGGGGGUACUCGAGCGGCGAACGGGUGAGUAACACGUGGGUAAUCUGCCCUUCACUUUGGGAUAACCCCCGGAAACGGGAGCUAAUACCGGAUAUGACCGGCAACCGCAUGGUUUGUGGGUAGAAACUUUUUUGGGUGGGGGAUGUGCUCGCGGCCUAUCAGCUUGUUGGUGGGGUAAUGGCCUACCAAGGCUUUGACGGGUAGCCGGCCUGAGAGGGUGACCGGCCACACUGGGACUGAGACACGGCCCAGACUCCUACGGGAGGCAGCAGUGGGGAAUAUUGGACAAUGGGCGGAAGCCUGAUCCAGCAACGCCGCGUGAGGGAUGACGGCCUUCGGGUUGUAAACCUCUUUCAGCACCGACGAAGCGUGAGUGACGGUAGGUGCAGAAGAAGGACCGGCCAACUACGUGCCAGCCGCCGCGGUAAAAC